rnacentral:rRNA from 1 species
GGGGAAUAUUGCACAAUGGGGGAAACCCUGAUGCAGCGACGCCGCGUGAGUGAAGAAGUAUUUCGGUAUGUAAAGCUCUAUCAGCAGGGAAGAUAAUGACGGUACCUGACUAAGAAGCCCCGGCUAACUACGUGCCAGCAGCCGCGGUAAUACGUAGGGGGCAAGCGUUAUCCGGAUUUACUGGGUGUAAAGGGAGCGUAGGUGGUUUGGUAAGUCAGAUGUGAAAGCCCGGGGCUCAACCCCGGGACUGCAUUUGAAACUAUCAAACUAGAGUGCAGGAGAGGUAAGUGGAAUUCCUAGUGUAGCGGUGAAAUGCGUAGAUAUUAGGAGGAACACCAGUGGCGAAGGCGGCUUACUGGACUGUAACUGACACUGAGGCUCGAAAGCGUGGGGAGCAAACA